rnacentral:rRNA from 1 species
CCUACGGGGGGCAGAAGUAGGGAAUCUUUCACAAUGGGCGAAAGCCUGAUGGAGCAACGCCGCGUGCAGGAUGAAGGCCUUCGGGUUGUAAACUGCUUUUAUAAGCGAGAAAUAUGAUGGUAACUUAUGAAUAAGGAUCGGCUAACUACGUGCCAGCAGCCGCGGUCAUACGUAGGAUCCGAGCAUUAUCCGGAGUGACUGGGUGUAAAGAGUUGCGUAGGUGGCAUAAUAAGUAGCUAGUGAAAUCUGGUGGCUCAACCAUUCAGACUAUUAGCUAAAAUGUUAAGCUCGAGACCGUUAGGGGUAACUGGAAUUUCUAGUGUAGGAGUGAAAUCCGUAGAUAUUAGAAGGAACACCAAUAGCGUAGGCAGGUUGCUGGGACGGUUCUGACACUAAGGCACGAAAGCGUAGGGAGCAAACGGGAUUAGAUACCCUAGUAGUC